GAAGCCUGCGUGGGAAAGAGAAGACGCAAGUCACCAUCUGUGCGCUUCACAGCCGCUCCAGCCUUCCACACACAGCGCCAGUGGCGAAUUGUCACUUUCUCCAAACCUUACCCCUUCCAAGGCUGAGGCAAGAGGAGAAGGAGUUCAGGAAAAGUGCGUGCUCUCGCCCAAAUAUUUUAUGUCCACAACCACCACGGGGCGUCGGUUACAUGGAGCUGUGAAUGUUCGGCAGAAUGAUCCGUCAACUUCAGCAGUGUAUCAGAUCCCACCCGCCAGAGCCUGGAGACCUACAGUAUCCAUCGGAAGCUUGGACGUCCUUUCUGUCUCCCCCUCCCUAUCAACUUUGAGAAGUUCAGAUGGCCUGAUCUCGACGUUAGGGGCAAAGACUUUAAGUAACUAAGGGCAGACUUCUUUGUUGGUCUCCAGAUUUUCGCGGGCCCGCAGGAAGGAGCCUGGCUCACAGCAGGUCUUCAAUAAUGCUCCUAGGAAAAACAUUCAAACCGUCCCUCCUUUUGCUACAAAACCAACUGCGGAGAGGACAAAUAGAAAUGCAGAUGUUCAACCCUCAUCUCAGACUGAAUAAGAAUUAGAUGGGAGAUGAGGGAAAGGAUGGGCUGGAAGGAUCUGUAAAGAUGACCUAGAGACUUCUGGACCAACUGAGCUCCAAAAUUCAACCCUGCUUAACAUAAAAAAAGACACUAGGCUCAGAAAUAGCCAUUGUAGCCAGGCAUAGUGGCCCUCGUGCCUUUAAUCGCAGCACUCCAGAGGCUGAGACAGGAAGAUUCUUUCAAGUUCGAGACCAGUCUGGGCUACAAAGUGAGCUCAAGGCCAGCCAGAACUGCAGUGAAAUCCUGUCUCAAAAAGACAGCCCCCACCCCACAACCCAAAGAAAGACGUGUAUAUUGUGGAUGAAAGAAUAAGGGUAAUCCCAGCCAUCUAGGAGGGAAGCAAAAGGAUCACAAGUUUGAGCCUUAUCUGCAAUUCGGCGACUUAGCGACACCUUAUCUCAAAAAAAAAAAAAAAAAAAAAAACCUGAAAAAGGAGCUGAUGAAGUAGCUCAGCGCAAAGGUCCUAGGUUCAAUCCCCAGUAGCACUGUACUUUGAGAGGCUGUGAAUGUAGCUGUAUGGUACUGGGGAUGGCGCUUGCCCAGAACACUUUAGGCCCUGGGUUCGAUCCCUGACUCUGCAAGAAAAAGAAAACUCCUUUGUUCACACACUAGCAGUCUGACUUUGAACAGGUCACACGUCACCUCCCGUCUUGGCCUUAAUUUCCUGAUUCAAAAGUCGGUAAGAAUAUGCACCUGGCUUCCUUGGCAUGGCGGCUGGGAUCCUAGGAGAGAAGGGAAGCGCGAUCCCCGCCCGAGCCCGGCUCCCUCUGCCCCGCGCGCCCGCGCCCGCGCCCGCACCCACCUCGGUCCGGCAGCGCUCGCAGCGCGUCCCCGGGCGCGCCCAGCUCGGCCACUGUGCACGGGGCCCGCGCCAGCCCCGCGUCGGCCGCGGCCUCCCGCUCGCGCGCGAUCUUCUGCAGCACGCGCGGCACGGGCUGUGGCUGGCGGGGCGGCGGCGCCGCAUCCAAGCCUAGAAACCGGAGAAAGUCGCGUUCUCCCAACGCGAGCGCCUGCCCCAAGGCCAGGGUCAGCAGGACGCCGGGAGCCAGCGCGCGCCGGGGAGCAUGCAUGGCCACGGCGCUGAGCCGGGCGGCGGCCGAGGGAGGAGGUGGCUGCCGAUCCCCCACCCCCUUCCCCACUCCCACCCCCUCCUCCCAGGCCAUUGGGCGGGAAGAAGCAGACACCCCUUCCCGCGUUGGGGCUCGAACCCCGACCCUUCCGCCGACCUGCAUUGCCAGCGCUUUGCUUUGCUUGCUUGCUUGCUUGCUUUUUUUAAACUUUGAGACAGAGUCUUGCUGCCUUCCCCAGGCAGGACUCCAAUUUGCAACCCUCCUGCUUCGGCCACCCACAGUGCUGGCAUUACAGGCAUGUGCCCCAUAUCUGCUUUUAUCACUUCACUUGCUGUACGCCCCAGGAAAAAAAUUAGCAGUGUGUGGACAUAAACCUUACAACAACCCGAAGGUUGUCCUUCAGGUUUUGGUUGGUUUGGUUGGUUGGUUUCUGGUCUUUUUGAGACAGUUUCACUAUGCAUUUCAGGCUCGAACUCACUUUGUGGUGCGGGCUGGCCUGGAACUCACAAUAAUCCUUCUGCCUCAGCCUCCCAGAUUCUGGGACGUUAGGCUGGAAUCACCACGCCCCGGCUUCUAGAUCCGCGUUAAGGGGAAGCUGAGCCUGGUGGCACCCGCCUGACAUUCCAGCACUCCUGGAGGCUGAAGAGGAUUGUUAUAAGUUCAAAGCCAGCUUGAGCUACAUAGAGAAUGCAAUGCUAGUGUGGACUACAUAGCAGGACCCUGUCUCAAAGCAAAACAAAACAAGAGGGCCAGGCAUUUAGCUCAGGAGCACGGUGCCUGCCUGGCAAGCACAAGGUUGUGAGUUUGAUUUCCAGUUAGAGAAAGAGAGAGAGAGAGAGAGAGAGAGAGAGAGAGAGAGAGAGGCAGGUGAGAGGAGGGGAAGGAGAGAAGUGGAAGUAGACACAUUUAUUCAUUCAACAGUUAUUAAACCGUCAGUUGUGUCAAAAACCCUGAGAUGAAUGCUAGGAACAUAAGAGUGAGCAAUUUAGCCUUAAAAUUCAUAAUUAGGGGGCCGGAGAUUUAGCUCAGCAGCAUAAGUGCCUGCCUGGCAAGUGUAAGGUCAUGAGAUCGAUCCUCAGUACAAGAAGAAAUUCAUAAUUAGUGAAAUAUAUAGGUGUAUGUGUGUGUGUGUGUGUGUGUGUGUACCGGGGAUAAAACCCAGAGAUGUUCAUAACUGGGCCAUACCUCCAGCCUUUUUUUUACUUUUUAUGUUUCAAGACCAGAGUCUCUAAAUUACCCAGACACAAUCAAUUUGAGAUCCAUCCUCUUGUCUCAGCCUCCCAAGCAACUGGGGUUGAGCUGUGCACCACCACACCCUGUUUGAGCUUCUUGAAUAAAAGUCCUAAAUCAGACUGA